CAAGGACUCUGACCCUUUAUCUCUGCUGGACAGCAUUUGACCCCAGAUCCCCUUGCCAUUCUGGGAGCUCCUCUCUCCUGCCUUCUGCCUCUGUGCCUGCUGCUCUCUGCCUGGAGCCCUCAGAAGAGCCUGGCUGCUCCCGCGUGUCCUGCAUCUCCGUCUCAGCACAGCCUCCCUGGCCUCCCCAUCCGCCCAGCACUCUCAGCUCCCUUUCCGCUUCCUUUUUCUUCUCUGUGCUUGUCACCCCCGACACAUUGCAUGACCUGUCACCUGCCUCUGGCAUUGGCGUGUGAGCUGGCUGGGAGCAGGAGCCUGCGUCUGUGUUCACACAGUGACGUGUGCACAGCAUUGAACGUCUGUCCAAGAAGCGGAUGGAUGCACAGAGGGCCACACAGAGGCAGCGAAGUGUGAGCCCCACUCUAGGGUGACCCCAUCUUCAUCUGAGUUCCUCUGCAAAACCGUUUCCAAAUAAGGUCACAUUUUGCGGUUCUGGGUAGACAUGAAUUUGGGGGGACACUAACACGUAAUGUAACUCUUCACUCUCCACUUACCUGCACUGUGAAUUUUGGGGGACACUGUCUAACACGUAACGUAAUGUGACUCUUCGCUCUCCACUUACCGGCACCGUGAGUUUUGAAGUGCUGCCCAGGCCCAGUGUGAAGGCUGCAUUCUGCGCCAUCUUCAGCUCUCAGACCCGAACACCUGACCCUGGCACAGGCUGCGUCUUCAUUACAGAUUCGAGGCUUUCUUGAUCUCCUACCUCUAGUUGGCAGGAGGUGGGGCCUCCUCUGCUUUCUCUGCAGGGGUGCACAGUUGGGGGGAUGUCUGCUGGUCAGGGGGUGCACAGUUGGGAGGGAUGUCUGCUGGUCAGCGGGUGCACAGUUGGGGGGAUGUCUGCUGGUCAGUGAGUAGACAGUUGGGAUGUCUGCUGGUUAGGGGGUACACAGUUGGGAGGCAUGUCUGCUGGUCAGAGGGUGCACAGUUGGGGGGAUGUCUGCUGGUCAGUGAGUAGACAGUUGGGAUGUCUGCUGGUUAGGGGGUACACAGUUGGGAGGGAUGUCUGCUGGUCAGGGGGUGCACAGUUGGAGGGAUGUCUGCUGGUGUGGGCGGUGGACAGUUGGUGAAGAGGUUUCCUGCUGUGGGUGGUGGACAGUUGGGAGGAUGCUGGCUGGUCGGGGGGUGCACAGUUGGGGGGGGAUGUCUGCUGGUGCUUGCUUGGUGCCAGUCAGUGUCCCUAGAGGCAGCUCCCAUGGGGAGGGAGGGACAGACCCCUCCGUCUGUGGCAGCCAUGUGGCUGGGAAGCAGACUCUGCUUCUUUCUUGGCCUGAGUCAAGUGGUUCCUCCAUGAGUCCGAGGUCCCCGGCCAGCCUGCCUU
rnacentral:lncRNA from 1 species